GUCAAUAUCUUUAAAAUUGUUGCACGGAUGUUUAUAUUGGGUAGGCUCCCAUCUGGAAGGGGUUCAAGCCAAUUCUUCAGAAGCGUUAAUACUCCAUGAUCUAAGAAUUCUAGCUGAAGUUGUUUCAUGCACCCAGAACAAUAAGAACCAGAGAUUCAGAAUAGGGAAAGAACCAUAUGAGAAGAAAUAAAUAUAGGCAACUAACUUACUUUGAGAGGACUUCUGUUAGAAGAGGCAGCUUCUUAAGUUUGUUUAUAGCAGGUUUUGAUUGUCUAUUCAAUCUUGCAUCUUCUUCUACUACAACUUCAAGC
rnacentral:lncRNA from 1 species